CCUACAUCUAGUGGAAAGCCUUCCCAGAAGAGUGGAGGCUGUUAUAGCAGCAAUGUUCCUACAUCUAGUGGAAAGCCUUCCCAGAGGAGAGGAGGCUGUUAUAGCAGCAAUGUUCCUACAUCUAGUGGGAAGCCUUCCCAGAAGAGAGGAGGCUGUUAUAGCAGCAAUGUUCCAACAUCUAGUGGAAAGCCUUCCCAGGAGAGUGGAGGCUGUUAUAGCAGCAAUGUUCCUACAUCUAGUGGGAAGCCUUCCCAGAAGAGAGGAGGCUGUUAUACCAACUCCACAUUAAUGCCCAUCGACGAGCAGAGUGGAGGCUGUUAUAGCAAAUGGGGACCAACUCCACAUUAAUGCCCAUCGACGAGCAGAGUGGAGGCUGUUAUACCAACUCCACAUUAAUGCCCAUCGACGAGCAGAGUGGAGGCUGUUAUAGCAAAGGGGACCAACUCCACAUUAAUGCCCAUCGACGAGCAGAGUGGAGGCUGUUAUACCAACUCCACAUUAAUGCCCAUCGACGAGCAGGUGUCCACAUACUUUUAGUCAUGUAAUAUACCUACCAGAUCAGAUCUCUAUUAAGGAACAUUUUCAUGUGUCGUUUUAGACUGUAACUAACUUAUACAUUAAACAUGAAUUGCGUAUUACCAGCCUGAUUAAGCCGAAUAGCCAGUUACCGGCUAUCAAAAGCACACUUUCACCCAAAUAUCAUACUCACACAACGCCUUUAUUUCCAUUUGACAGCUAACAAGCUAACACCGGUAGACAGCUAACAGUAAACUAGCUCGUUUUUACUAACGUUACGCUGGUUUAUUCUAACCAACCUGUACAAUUUGAUUGUCCAUAUCUUCAUCCAAUACUCUUCCGUUAACAGACGAAGUCAUAGUUUUUUUUGUGUGUGUUUUUAAUCAGUGCAUGUCUACCAGCAGAGAACUUCAUGUGACUGGAACGACCGGAAGUAAAACGCUGCGUUUCACCGGAACAUUGAGGACGGAACAUUUUCCGGAAGUCACACCUACAAAGUCUUCCCCAGAGAGGGUUGUCUUCCCUAUAAAAAAAAACGAAUGUAAUUUCACUCCAAAAUGGUUCAUACUAGCUAAUAAAAUAAAUAAAUGAUUUCAAUUCUCCUUUAGGGCCUCAAUUGGCAAUUAUUG
ensembl:lncRNA